GCCAGUAUGGCAUAGUGGUUUGUGUUUUGGACUAUGAUUCUGGAGACCAGAGUUUGAAUCCUGCUCAGUCA